AUGCAGCGCAUCCUCAGCUUCUGCUUUGGGUGGUCUGUAGGGAAACAGAAGUUUGAGAGGUCACUCACUAACGGGGAGAGGUCUUCCUCUGCAGACAGCACAGAGAGAGCACAGGAAGGCCUCUCAACCGCCCCUCUCUGUUUCCCACAAAAGGGAGAUCUUGCAAAUCCUCUGCCUGUCCUCCAGGAGGGAGAGCCUUCCAAGGCCCCCUCUCCUCCAAAGGAGGAGAGCCCAAGCAACCCCCUGCCCCCUGGUGAGAGGGGGAGCCCAGCCACCCCCUUUCCCUGCAGGAAGGGGCAGAAUCAGAGCUCUGUGGCUGGAGCAUUGCCGCCUUCAGGCAGCAAGAGUGCCGAGGGCUCACUUUGCACUGGGGACAGUGAUGACCUAGCUCAGCCACUGGAGAAGGGAAGCAUGUUUGAGGACAAUAAUAAUGCCUCUUCAGAGGAACUGAGGCCUGAUGCUGCCCAGGUGCCUCCUGAAGAUUCAGUCCCGAUUCAGCUCCUGUUGUGCAGAUGCRGCCAUGUCCCUCCUCACAGACUCUUCCUCAGUGGAGGUGUUUCCCAGGCAGUUACCAGGAAAAGCAAAAGCAGCUCUUUCACUGCAARGGAACCUGGUGCAUCUGGAUCCUCAUGUGUGAUCUCCUGUGAAGAAGCACCAGGUGACAUAAAUGAAACAUAUUGGCAAUGUUACCAAGCUAUGCUCCCAGUUCAUUCAUCUUCGGAAAGCGUCCGCAAGCAGGAGGACAAGAAGAUGCAGCUUGCAACCACACAGUCUUACUUUGAGAAGGGCGUUCCAGCCAACAACACAGAAGGUGAGCUGCUGYGGGAAGGUGUGCAAGUGGGAAUGGAUGGAAGAAAAAAUGUCAGGACCAACAUGGAUGCUGAUGCGAUGCAGCUGAGUUAUGUCCCUGGUGUGUACGUGUGCCCCCUUCCCACAAAUGGUGAGGUGACUUGGUCAGAGAAUGCUGUCAGUCACCCCCUUCUCUCCUCCUCCUGUCUGACUGCUGCCAGACAAACUCCUGGCUCAGAAAGUGACUGUUACAAGUGUUUGAAGCCAAAACUGGAAACACCAGAGAGUUACAGAAGUGCAGACAGAGGAUCUGUGGUCAACCCUUGCCUGGGGAGUAGAAGCUGGUGCAAGUGCUCCCAAGAAAUCCUGCUCCACCGUCUGGAAGAAGGUGCUAGYUACAAGGGGAGGAGAGGAACCCUUUCAAAAAGAAAUAUCCCAGACAUCCUCCAGGAUAUUUCACAAAAUCACCACUGCUAG
rnacentral:lncRNA from 1 species